AUUGAACGCUGGGGGCAGGCCUAACACAUGCAAGUCGAGCGGGGUUUUCGGACCUAGCGGCGGACGGGUGAGUAAUGCGUAGGAAGCUACCCGACAGAGGGGGAUACCAGUUGGAAACGACUGUUAAUACCGCAUAAUGUCUACGGACCAAAGUGUGGGACCUUCGGGCCACAUGCUGUCGGAUGCGCCUACGUGGGAUUAGCUAGUUGGUGAGGUAAUGGCUCACCAAGGCGACGAUCCCUAGCUGGUUUGAGAGGAUGAUCAGCCACACUGGAACUGAAACACGGUCCAGACUCCUACGGGAGGCAGCAGUGGGGAAUAUUGGACAAUGGGCGCAAGCCUUGUCCAGCCAGGCCGCGUGUGUGAAGAAGGCCUUCGGGUUGUAAAGCACUUUCAGCGAGGAGGAAGGGUUGUGUGUUAAUAGCACAUAGCUUUGACGUUACUCGCAGAAGAAGCACCGGCUAACUCUGUGCCAGCCGCCGCCGUAAGAC
rnacentral:rRNA from 1 species